rnacentral:lncRNA from 1 species
CACAGGCAGAGGGAGAAGCAGGCUCCACGCAGAGAGCCCGACGCAGGACUCGAUCCUGGGUCUCCGGGAUCACACCCCCGGCCGAAGGCGGCACUAAACCGCUGAGGCACCCAGGCUGCCCUAAGUGUUCAACUUUUAUCUCAGCUCAGGUCUUGAUCACAGGGUCAUGAGUUCAAGCCGUAUGUUGGGCUCCAUGCCCAGCUUGAAAACAAAACAAAACAAAACACACUUCUGCUCUAGUUAAAAACAUAAAAAGUUAAUUUCCGGAACUAGUGUUUCAUUCAGUUGGACUCCUGCUGUGUAAAAACUGCCCUAUCCAGCCCUCUCCCCGCCCCCCCGCCCCACUUAGAGAUAAGAGGUACCAAAAGGUAAAAGAGCAGUCAGAUAUAACCUGGGAAGAAGCCAGGAACCCACACAAACAUUUCCAUGAAGCAGAAAGGUGAGGGCUCCGCAUGGUUCUAAAUCCAACUUGUCUGAGAACAGGAGCUGAAGAAGCGUCUGUCUGGAUAAUGGGCACAGCAGAGGCAGCCGCAGCCGACAGCGUGGCCCAAGAAAUGUUUCCUCUUGAGCUGAAGCUCAUCAGAGAGCAGAGAGGUAGUUGAAACCAAGUGUUGGAUGCAGAUGAAACUGGCCCGUAUGACCAGAAGGUGAAGUUAUAAACAUAAAGCGCCAGCAUUUAGGUGGACGCAGUCAGGGACUCUUCGGUGCAGUGGCAACCUGUCAGGCUUGGGGUAUGUGCCCAAUAUACCUCCUUUGAACACCGCACAGUGGAGUGGCGGAGAAUAAAAACUUCUGGGCUGCACUUUGGAUUAUUGGAAAAAAUAAUUUGCAAGAAUGUUCAUUGCAGUGCUAUCUAUAUUAGUGAACCAUUGCCCUCAAAUAGGGACUGCUGAAAUAAAUAAAUCAUGGUGUGUUGUUUGAAAAACUGGGGCACCUGAUUGGAUCUAUCAGUGGAACUCGAAACUCUUUUUUUUUUUUUUGGAACUCGAAACUCUUGAUCUUGGGUCGUGAGUUUGAGUUCCACGUUGGGUGUAGAGUCUACUUGAAAAAAUAAAAUAAAUAAAAUAAAAUGUUGGUGUAGAAGAUGAAGCAAACACCUCUUUCCCUCCCAGUUCAAGCCAUGAGAUCAUUGUUCCUUUGAACUUUUCAAAGUGGACUUAACCUUCAGUGUGGGAUGCAGGUGGCUAUGCCCAGCCUUUCCUUCCUGGCACUCAUUGAAGUAUGAGAUGACGUCUCAUACUGAAAACCCUCAGUUUUCAUUCCCAGUGGGACCACUAAAAGUGCAAGUUCUUUGAGUUUCUCUUACCUUUCGUUUCUCUCGUGUAAAACAGAGGUUUUACAGGUUUUACAUAGCAGGCCGACUUUUUUGUUAAGCUCUGUGGGAGUUAGUUGAGCCAUAUAAUGGUGGCAGCCACACUUAGAUGAGGUUGGUGGUUCAGACCCCAGCUCAGUCAUUUUCUUUCUGUGUUUAACUUUUCUCAUCUAUAAAAUGAGAAUAAUGAAUGCAUGGUUUUCAUAGGAAACAGACUGAGGGUCGCUGGAGGGGAGGAGGAUGAGGGAACAGGGUAACUGGGUGAAAGGCAUCAAGGAGGGCGUCUGAUGUAAUGAGCACUGGGUGUUAUACAAGACUGAUGAAUCACUGACUUCUAUCUCUGAAACCAGUAAUACAACAUACAUUAAUUGAAUUUACAUAAAAAUUUUUAAAAAGCAUGGUUAUGGAGACUGGUUAUGGUUAUAUGAAUUAAUAUAGUGCUUACUUUUAGAGUUAAUGAGUCUAAACUAUUCUGUCCAAUAGAAUAGCCAUCUGCCACAUGUAACUAGAAUGCAUUUGAAGUGUGGCUUGUCACCUGAGGGUGCCUGACUGGCUAAAACGGUGGAGUGUGCGACUCUUGAUCUCAGGGUCGUGGGUUUGGGCCCCACGCUGGGGUUAGAGAUGACUUAAAUCAAUCAAUCAGUUUUUGAAAUGUGCCACAUCUAACUGAGGUGCACCAUAAGUGUAAAUUCACAUCAGAUUUUGAAGUCUUAAUGUGGAAAGAGAAUGUAAAAUAUCUCACUAAUAAUUUAUUUGAUUAUAUGUUAAAAUAAUAUUCUGCAUCUAUUGGGUUAAAUAGAACAUAUUUUACAAUUAAUCUCACUAUAUAUAAUUAUUAUUUAUUAUUUUUUACUCUCUAAAAUGCAGAGGAAUUACUCAUAUACAUGUACUGUACUUCUGUCUGUUUGUAUUUUAUUUUAUUUUAUUUUAUUUAUUUUUUGUUUGUAUUUUAAUAAAUAAAUAAAAUGCGGCUCCUAGAAUAUUUACAA